AAGGAUUAUGCCUGCAGACUUUCCAACUGCGGAAAUGCCCCCACGAGCUGUGGUUCGAAUUCAGGCGCGACCAAACGAUAAAGGGUCACUGCUCGUGCAAAACAGGAAACCUCGCCUUUGACGGCACGGCGUGUGCACUGCGGCACGCAGGAACUUUUGCGAUUCUUGUACCUCUUGCCCAUACUGAGGAAAUAAUAAAGCAAAUAAUUGCCACUACGACUCGCAGUACCUGUCCGACUUCAGUAGUUCACUACAGCGUUCAGAAAAGCCG
rnacentral:lncRNA from 1 species